UACCCUACGGGGGGCAGCAGUAGGGAAUCUUCGGCAAUGGGCGAAAGCCUGACCGAGCAACGCCGCGUGAAUGAAGAAGGCCUUCGGGUUGUAAAAUUCUGUUAUAAGGGAAGAAAGGUGAUAGGAGGAAAUGACUAUCAAUUGACGGUACCUUAUGAGAAAGCCACGGCUAACUACGUGCCAGCAGCCGCGGUAAUACGUAGGAUGCGAGCGUUAUCCGGAUUUAUUGGGUUUAAAGGGUGCGUAGGCGGAAUGCCAAGUCAGCGGUAAAAUCGCGGGGCUCAACCUCGCUCCGCCGUUGAAAC
rnacentral:rRNA from 1 species